GACGAACGCUGGCGGCGUGCUUAACACAUGCAAGUCGAACGGAAAGGCCUGCAGCUUGCUGCGGGUACUCGAGUGGCGAACGGGUGAGUAACACGUGGGUGAUCUGCCUCGCACUUCGGGAUAAGCUUGGGAAACUGGGUCUAAUACCGGAUAGGACAGCUGUUUAGUGUCAGUUGUGGAAAGUUUUUUCGGUGCAAGAUGAGCUCGCGGCCUAUCAGCUUGUUGGUGGGGUAAUGGCCUACCAAGGCGUCGACGGGUAGCCGGCCUGAGAGGGUGUACGGCCACAUUGGGACUGAGAUACGGCCCAGACUCCUACGGGAGGCAGCAGUGGGGAAUAUUGCACAAUGGGCGGAAGCCUGAUGCAGCGACGCCGCGUGGGGGAUGAAGGCCUUCGGGUUGUAAACUCCUUUCGACAGGGACGAAGCGUAAGUGACGGUACCUGUAUAAGAAGCACCGGCUAACUACGUGCCAGCAGCCGCGGUAAUACGUAGGGUGCGAGCGUUGUCCGGAAUUACUGGGCGUAAAGAGCUCGUAGGUGGUUUGUCGCGUCGUCUGUGAAAUUCCGGGGCUUAACUCCGGGCGUGCAGGCGAUACGGGCUGACUUGAGUGCUGUAGGGGAGACUGGAAUUCCUGGUGUAGCGGUGAAAUGCGCAGAUAUCAGGAGGAACACCGAUGGCGAAGGCAGGUCUCUGGGCAGUAACUGACGCUGAGGAGCGAAAGCAUGGGUAGCGAACAGG
rnacentral:rRNA from 1 species